UACGAAGGGGGCUAGCGUUGUUCGGAAUCACUGGGCGUAAAGCGCACGUAGGCGGAUUCUUAAGUCAGGGGUGAAAUCCCGAGGCUCAACCUCGGAACCGCCUUUGAUACUGGGGAUCUCGAGUCCGGGAGAGGUGAGUGGAAUUGCGAGUGUAGAGGUGAAAUUCGUAGAUAUUCGCAAGAACACCAGUGGCGAAGGCGGCUCACUGGCCCGGAACUGACGCUGAGGUGCGAAAGCGUGGGGAGCAAACAGGAU
rnacentral:rRNA from 1 species